rnacentral:rRNA from 1 species
UACGAAGGGGGCUAGCGUUGCUCGGAAUCACUGGGCGUAAAGCGCACGUAGGCGGAUCUUUAAGUCAGGGGUGAAAUCCUGGAGCUCAACUCCAGAACUGCCUUUGAUACUGGGGAUCUCGAGUCCGGGAGAGGUGAGUGGAAUUCCCAGUGUAGCGGUGAAAUGCGUAGAUAUUGGGAGGAACACCAGUGGCGAAGGCGGCUCACUGGACCGGUACUGACGCUGAGGCGCGAAAGCGUGGGGAGCAAACAGG